rnacentral:misc_RNA from 1 species
GGGACGCCGACGAUCCCCGUCAGCGUGCCGGAGGAGAGGAGCGCUCCGAUCUCGGAAACGACGAAUGCGGCGGUGGAGCCGGUGCCGAGGCCGAGGACCAUGCCGCUGGUAACGUACUCGACGGCCUUGACGGCGGCGAGCUUCUUGAGGUCAUCCUGGGACAAGACGGUGGAGGCGGGCGGCGAAGGGGAGGGGGAGGAGAGGGCGCGGAUGGAGCGGCGGCGGAGUGGGGCGACGCGGUGGAGGGAGGACGGGGAGGGGAGGACGAGGGAUGAGGCAGCCAUGGGGGAGUGGUGAGUUGAGGGCGAUUAGGUGUUUGAGGGUGAGAGGACGGGGUUUUCGAGGGCAGGAUGCGG